CACAGAUCCUACAGAAGCUGAGCAGUUUGAUGCCUGAUUAGUACUUGAAUGGGAGACUGUCUAGGAGUACCAAGGGAUAAGCUGGGA
rnacentral:rRNA from 1 species